GCCUUUGAUUUGCAGGCAGGGCAGUGUGGUUUAGAAAGGAGCAGUGACUUGUCUGGGAAGGUUGUGAUUGUGAAGAAGGAGGAAGUUGAUGGAGAAACAGAUCCUCCAUAAGAACAGAGCACCCAGCUUCUCAGAGGGAAUAAACAGUCUUCAUUGAUUCAACAGAAGUAACUGCUCCAGACUUUGAACAUCUUCAGUGAAAGCUUGUGAGAAGAUUGAACCUUUCUCUGGUCAAGUACCAAAACUCCAGGUGAAUUGGUGGAAUGCUUAGAACAUGACUAUUCUGACCGGAGUCACUAUUUCAAGCUAUAUUGUGUGUGUGCUUAGUUGCUCAGUCCUGUUCAACUCUUUGCUACCCCCUGGACUGGAGACCGCCAGGCUCCUCUGCUCAUGGGAUUUUCCAGGUAAGAAUACUGAAGAGGGUAGCCAUUCCCUUCUCCAGGCAAUCUUCCUGAGGCAGGGAUUGAACCCAUAUCUCCUGCAUUGCAGGCAUAUUCUUUAUUGUCUGAGCCGCCCACGUCUAAAUUGUUCCUAAGC
rnacentral:lncRNA from 1 species